rnacentral:lncRNA from 1 species
GCUUGGCUCACCGCUUACUGUUUCCUGCUGGCCUGCUCUAAAUUUGGAGCUGUUUGACAGGAAUGGACCAAAUGCUGUCAGUAUUCUCAUUAGUAAAUUUGCAGUCGCUCAGUGAUGGAGUGCUGUGCCUUUGGAGGGGCUUUGGACAGUGAGUCCUGCUUGCUGCACAGGAUCAUAAGGAAGAGCAGCUCCUCUCUGAAGAAAAGUACACAGAAAGGAAGUGAAGAGCUCCGGUCCUGGGCUUCUGAUGCAGAAUCAAGGAGAAAUAGUGAAAAUAUUGGAAUGGAGAAUGGCAACAAGUGAAAUCACAUUCUAGUCUUGCAUGGAAGUGUGAAACUGCUGCAAAACACCUGGCUCUCACAGCUCCGUUGACUCCAAUGUGAUGCAUGCAGCUGAGUUGGUAUGAACUCAUCAGGCGGACGGGGAGCAGAGCAGAUCUUUAUGAAUUGAAGCACAUCGAGCGAUAACUGAAAUGCCU